rnacentral:rRNA from 1 species
UAUUAACAGAACCUUUCGGGGCGAAGAAUAUAGAAGUUAGUGGCGGACGGGUGCGUAACGCGUGGGUAAUCUGCCUUUGUCAAAGGAAUAACUAUUCGAAAGAAUAGCUAAAACCGUAUAACAUAUUAAUAGGGCAUCCUAAUAAUAUCAAAACGAUAGUGGACAAAGAUGAGCCCGCGUCUGAUUAGCUAGUUGGUGAGAUAAAAGCCCACCAAGGCAACGAUCAGUAGCCGACCUGAGAGGGUGAACGGCCACAUUGGAACUGAGACACGGUCCAAACUCCUACGGGAGGCAGCAGUGGGGAAUAUUGCACAAUGGGGGGAACCCUGAUGCAGCAACGCCGCGUGAGUGAAGAAGGCAUUCGUGUCGUAAAACUCUGUAGUAGGGGAAGAAAGAAAUGACAGUACCCUAAAAGAAGCCCCG